GAGAGUUCUCUUCUUGCUCUUCAUCAAGGCUUUUUGCCUUUUGGUGAAGCGUUCUUUCCUUCAAGACUUUGAUCAAUCAUCAAUCGUUGGAUCCAGUUAAAUCAGAACAUCAUGUCGUUUGAAAAACUUGUUGAAUCAAGUUGCACUGGCUACAUCAGCAGUGAUGCUAUAUCCCAAAAGAAAUUACUAUCAAUUGUCGACAUCAUUCAUCCAAAUAAAUUUCAGGUAUCUGGUUGAUGGAUCACAAUCAAACAUCUCAUCGAAAAAAAAGAGUUAAUGAAUCAUAAUCCCACGCAAUGAAAUUAAGUCAAUUGCGUCUUCAAUUUAUAUCCAAAGAGAUAGAUGCAUUGGAUCCAGAUAUGAUGACAUCAUGCAACAUGCUGUUGGUUAAAAACUCCAAUUUUACAUAACACUUGUCGCAAUGCUGUCACUAAAUUUUCCAACAUCUUGAAAACUACUGGAAGUUUAUUUUCUUAAAGCUUGAACAAUCAAUGGACUUGAUGAAUCUCCAACAUCAUUUGAAAUUUACUAGAUGAUGAUGCUGUUAAUAAUCACCAACAGAAAGCUUGAACAAUCAAUGGACUUGACAAAUCUCCAACAUCAAUUGAAAUUUACUAGAUGAUGAUGCUGUUCAUAUUCACCAACACAAAGAUUAUUAUUAUUAGGGAGAUAUUAGGGAGAAGAAAGAGGUUCAUCAGGAGUGUAUCAGCCAAGAUAAGGAUAAAUUCUUGUUAUCAUUUUGGGCAUUUACAAUGUCACGAGAUGUAAUUUACUUACUCCAUAUGAUGUUGACUAUCUCCCUUAUAACAAUCACUCUUCUAAAUUGUACAUAAAAAUUAUUAUAAAUAAAACAAUUCAUUUAUACAAAUA